rnacentral:rRNA from 1 species
GACAGAGGGUGCAAACGUUGCUCGGAAUCACUGGGCGUAAAGGGCGUGUAGGCGGGAAGGAAAGUCAGAUGUGAAAGCCCUGGGCUCAACCCAGGAACUGCAUUUGAAACUCCCUUUCUUGAGUGUCGGAGAGGAAAGCGGAAUUCCUGGUGUAGAGGUGAAAUUCGUAGAUAUCAGGAGGAACACCGGUGGCGAAGGCGGCUUUCUGGACGACAACUGACGCUGAGACGCGAAAGCGUGGGGAGCGAACAGG